GACGGAGGAUGCAAGUGUUAUCCGGAAUCACUGGGCGUAAAGCGUCUGUAGGUGGUCAAAUAAGUCAACUGUUAAAUCUUGAGGCUCAACCUCAAAAUCGCAGUCGAAACUAUUAGACUAGAGUAUAGUAGGGGUAAAGGGAAUUUCCAGUGGAGCGGUGAAAUGCGUAGAGAUUGGAAAGAACACCGAUGGCGAAGGCACUUUACUGGGCUAUUACUAACACUCAGAGACGAAAGCUAGGGCAGCAAAUGGG
rnacentral:rRNA from 1 species